rnacentral:rRNA from 1 species
AACGAACGCUGGCGGCAGGCUUAACACAUGCAAGUCGAGCGCGUAGCAAUACGAGCGGCAGACGGGUGAGUAACGCGUGGGAAUCUACCGAGCCCUAAGGAAUAGCUCCGGGAAACUGGAAUUAAUACCUUAUACGCCCUUUGGGGGAAAGAUUUAUCGGGGUUUGAUGAGCCCGCGUUGGAUUAGCUAGUUGGUGGGGUAAAGGCCUACCAAGGCGACGAUCCAUAGCUGGUCUGAGAGGAUGAUCAGCCACAUUGGGACUGAGACACGGCCCAAACUCCUACGGGAGGCAGCAGUGGGGAAUAUUGGACAAUGGGCGCAAGCCUGAUCCAGCCAUGCCGCGUGAGUGAUGAAGGCCCUAGGGUUGUAAAGCUCUUUCACCGGUGAAGAUAAUGACGGUAACCGGAGAAGAAGCCCCGGCUAACUUCGUGCCAGCCGCCGCAGUAA